rnacentral:rRNA from 1 species
CCUUGCCAGCCCGCUCAGAACUUAAAUGAAUUGACGGGGCCCGCACAAGCGGUGGAGUAUGUGGCUUAAUUCGAUGCAACGCGAAGAACCUUACCUGGUCUUGACAUCCCGGAGACCCUUAGGAAACUAGGGGGUGCUUCCAUCUGGAAGAAUCUGGAGACAGGUGCUGCAUGGCUGUCGUCAGCUCGUGUCGUGAGAUGUUGGGUUAAGUCCCGCAACGAGCGCAACCCUUGCCUUUAGUUGCCAGCAGUUCGGCUGGGCACUCUAAAGGGACUGCCGGUGUUAAACCGGAGGAAGGUGGGGAUGACGUCAAGUCCUCAUGGCCUUUAUGACCAGGGCUACACACGUACUACAAUGGCCGAUACAAAGGGCAGCGACACUGCGAGGUGAAGCCAAUCCCGUAAAAUCGGUCUCAGUCCGGAUUGGAGUCUGCAACUCGACUCCAUGAAGUUGGAAUCGCUAGUAAUCGUGGAUCAGCAUGCCACGGUGAAUACGUUCCCGGGCCUU